UGGACAUUAGCCAGACGAGCUGUAUGAGAGAGGCGGACUUAUUCUUGUGUGCUACACAUGAGAAAGGCCACGGUAAAGGUUUGGAGGUCAUGUGAAGAAUGCAUAUGGAAGUGGAUGCACUCAAAUUCAGAAACAUGCCACCUUGAACACCAGCAGCCGGUUCACUUGGAGCAUGAUGUCAGAAGAAAAUGGCCACCAUGUGAAUAGCCUGUGGUCUACAUGCUUGCUAACAAGCAAAAAAGCCAUGACAACCCACUUAUUGUUGUAAACAAGGUCAACGAGCCUCUUGAGACAAUGCCAGGAUGAUUACACUGAAGAAAGAAGGGAAAAAGGCCUCAGAAGAUUCUUCUGAAAUACUUUAUUAAAGGUAAGUCCAUGUUAUACACACACAAUAGAUCAGAGUGGAUCCAUCUAAAUAAGAUGUC